GUGAGUCAUCGAAUCUUUGAACGCACAUUGCGCCCCUUGGUUAUUCCGAAGGGCAUGCCUGUUCGAGCGUCAUUAUCACCCCUCAAGCCCCGGCUUGGUGUUGGACUUUAGUUAUAGCGUUGUCUAUCAACUGGUCUCAAAGAUAGUGACGGCGCCCCAGAGGGAACCGGGUACGAGGAGCUUUUUAUUAAGCAUGUACCUGGGAGGACUCUGAUGGGCGACGGCCUUGUUAUACUUUUUACCUAAGUGUUGACCUCGGAUCAGGUAGGAAUACCCGCUGAACUUAAGCAUAUCAAUAGC
rnacentral:misc_RNA from 1 species